rnacentral:misc_RNA from 1 species
AGGCUCUCCUUGGCUCUCUCCCAUUCGCCGCCCUCCGCCCUCCUCUCCAGCUCUGUCGCGCCAUCUCGACUCCCCUGUGGUUCGCUCUGCUGUGCACCUCCGCUUCACCUUUCUCAGCAUUUCGGCGCGAGGUUUCGAAGAUGGGGUGCAAGUUCACCUUUCUCGUCUACGCGAUCCUCCAGCUCAUCGCGUUCCUUUCCGUGCUGAUCGGUACGCCGCUGGAGAUGUUUCGUGGCACCACGAGGGACCCGUAUAACGUAUCCUUGUGCAUCACUUUAUGGGGUACAAAGUACGACUUCCAAUGCCACUUCAUCAUGUACGCCCAGACGACGGACGGGCAGUGGGCGCGUUGCACGACCCGCCGCCAACAUUUCCGCAUGGCUGAGGCGUUGGUAGUCAUCUCCAUCAUCCUGUACGCCUUGGCGGCGCUGCUUGGCUUCAUUAUGCUGUUCUGCUGCUCUUUGCUCCGCUGGUAUGCCUGGCGCUCAACGUCGUUGGCCUCUUAACGUUGGGCAUCACCUGGGGCCUUAUGGUGACGGAGUUCAACAAGGGUGACGGCCCACUUUGCCCUCCUCUGAAGAACAACUACAAGUUUGGCUACGGCUUCUUUCUCCUGUUGGUGGCCUGGGUCCUGGAUCUCGUCGACAUCGUCUUCUUGCUGUUCCCGUUGCCGACUAUGCGCGCAGAUGAGAGUGAGAAAUCGAACGAAAGCGUAGAGCAGGAGUAGGCGGAAGGGAGCCGCAGGAGCGGAGGGCGGUGUUGCUAGCCGCGCGGCAGCUUCGCGACGACGCGCUCGUGGAGGAGCCGGCGGAGCUGAUGUCAGCGUGCCAGAGGGAGGGAGCGAGGGCUGCGGAUACUCGCCCCUGCCCUUCGCCGGCAGCUCUCCGUCUGCUGCUCGCUGCCCUCUCGUGCGUGCGCGUGAGGUGCGCCGCACGCGCUGCCGAGGGGGUGCAGACGUGCAGGCACGCCCUGGCAUGCACAUGCCGAGGAGCCGCUCUCGCUUUCUGCGCUUCCGCGUCUCUUUCUCCGUUUCCCGUCGUGCUGCAUUGCUGUCGAGUGCCAGUGCGGCGUAUGCGGGCACUUGCUGACGUGUUCAUGGUUUCUCCCUCGCCUGUCUUCGUCUUCUCGUGCGUGUGCCGCUUGUUGAGCUUUCCGCCUCUCGCCUCGCUGUUGCCUUUUCUGCUGACCUGCGCAGCGGUCUGCGCGUUGUGGUGGGCAGCGCACCCUUGACGGCGACCCGCCCACCGAUGACCCCUCCCUCCCCCCUCUGAGCGGUCGCCUCGCUGCCUUGUUGAAGCAGGCCCCCCCCCCUCUCCCCCGCACGCUCGGCGGGCGCAGCCUUGGCGAGACGAGAGGGCGAGCGGGGAAGCGAGGGGGUGGCACGGGCGUCGCCGGCCGGAGCAUUGAGGUGUGCAAGCGAGGGUGCACGGCUGCGAGGGCGAGGGAAGGCCGACGACGAGAACGGGCGAGGAAGAGACGGACGCGCUGGAAAGAGGGACGGUGAGCGCAAGGCCGCCACCGCACUGGUGGCCAGCCUCCGCCCCCUCCCUCCGUACAUCGGUGUCGCGGCCGCGCGUGUUUCCUGUACUUCUCUGGGGCGCCCCCUCUCGCCCCGUCUCUGUCUCCUCGCCCUCACGCACGCCGCAUGGACUCCUCAAACGGAGAGGGGGAGGGGGCGGGGUGCCACGUGUGUGGUGGUGGCGGGCGCAGGAACCAAACGGGCUAAUGGGCGGACGGCGCGGGAGGAGAGAGGACGGCGUCCGCGGACCCAGAAGCGACACACAGGUGCGUACGCAGCGCUAAAGAGGGGCGAUUGCAGCUCUUGCUCCUCUUGGUUCCUUGCGCCCCAUGCACGGCCUACGUGUGCGCGCACACACCGACGCGCGCGCAGGUGCGCAGGAG